rnacentral:rRNA from 1 species
AUUGAACGCUGGCGGCAGGCCUAACACAUGCAAGUCGAGCGAGCGGCGGACGGGUGAGUAAUGUCUGGGAAACUGCCUGAUGGAGGGGGAUAACUACUGGAAACGGUAGCUAAUACCGCAUACCAUCAGAUGUGCCCAGAUGGGAUUAGCUAGUAGGUGGGGUAACGGCUCACCUAGGCGACGAUCCCUAGCUGGGCUGAGAGGAUGACCAGCCACACUAGAACUGAGACACGGUCCAGACGCCUACGUGAGGAAGCAGGGGGGAAGAUUGCACAAUGGGCGCAAGCCUGAUGCAGCAAUGCCGCGUGUGUGAAGAAGGCCUUCGGGUUGUAAAGCACUGUCAGCGGGGAGGCGUUACCCGCAGAAGAAGCACCGGCUAACGCCGUGCCAGCAGCCGCGGUAAUAC